AUGAUUAUAGGUGCCAGUGGGGACACUGUGCUGACCCAGUCUCCAGCCUCCCUGGCUAUGUCUCCAGGAGGAACGGUCACCAUCAACUGCAAAUCCAGCCACAGUCUUUUUUACAGCUCCAACAAGAAGGACCACUUAGCCUGGUACCAGCAGAAACCCGGACAGGCUCCUAAGCUGCUCAUCUACGAAGCAUCGAACCGGGCAUCUGGGGUCCCUGACCGGUUCAGUGGCAGUGGGUCUGGGACAGACUUCACUUUCACCAUCAGCAACUUCCAGGCUGAAGAUGCCGCAGUUUAUUAUUGUUUCCAAAAUUAUUAUGCACCACCCACAGUGCUUCAACCUCGAACACAAACCUCCUCCCUAGAGCUACAGGCCAGUGAGUCUUCACUGUACCAGCUGCUUCCUUUCUGCUGA